GAUGAACGCUAGCUACAGGCUUAACACAUGCAAGUCGCGGGGCAGCAUGUCGGUUGCUUGCAACCGAUGAUGGCGACCGGCGCACGGGUGAGUAACGCGUAUCCAACCUGCCCUUCACCACGGAAUAAUCCAGUGAAAAUUGGUCUAAUACCGUAUGAGGUCAUACGAUGGCAUCAGAAUAUGACGAAAGGUUUGGCGGUGAAGGAUGGGGAUGCGUCUGAUUAGCUUGUUGGUGAGGUAACGGCUCACCAAGGCGACGAUCAGUAGGGGUUCUGAGAGGAAGGUCCCCCACAUUGGAACUGAGACACGGUCCAAACUCCUACGGGAGGCAGCAGUGAGGAAUAUUGGUCAAUGGGCGAGAGCCUGAACCAGCCAAGUAGCGUGCAAGAAGACGGCCCUAUUGGUUGUAAACUGCUUUUAUAUGGGGAUAAAGUGAGCUACGUGUAGUUUAUUGCAGGUACCAUAUGAAUAAGGACCGGCUAAUUCCGUGCCAGCCGCCGCAGUAA
rnacentral:rRNA from 1 species